GUUCCUGGCUCAGGAUGAACGCUAGCUACAGGCUUAACACAUGCAAGUCGAGGGGCAGCGGGAAGUCAGCUUGCUGACUUUGCCGGCGACCGGCGCACGGGUGAGUAACACGUAUCCAACCUUCCCGUUACUCUGGAAUAGCCUUUCGAAAGAAAGAUUAAUACCGGAUAGUAUCGAGAGAUUGCAUGAUAACCCGAUUAAAGAUUCAUCGGUAACGGAUGGGGAUGCGUUCCAUUAGGCAGUUGGCGGGG
rnacentral:rRNA from 1 species